GCUAAUGCGCACAAUGGUCAAGUAUAGGCUUGGCACACAGACCUCAUUAUACCGCCUGUUAAUAAUUACAGUUGUGAUAAGAUGGCCCAGAUUUGAGGACUUGAAGUGGAUGGUGUUCGGAAUAAUGUGGACAGUAGAUCUUCGACGGCCGUGCUGAGAAGGAGACAUUUCUGAGAAGAGGAGUUUGGAGAAAAAAAAAACGGAUUACUAUUAAACCAAGGCUCUAGAGCCACGUAGACGACCCUCCACCAGAGCCACCAGAACCAGGAGCAAGAGAGGACUUCUGAGGAGGCGUUGGCGAGAUGGCGAUGAGACCGCGGGAGCAGCAGUACAAGGUGGACAGGCCGCUGUAUUCGGUGGACAGCUUUGAGGAAGAGCAUGAGAAGGUCUACAGGCAGCGCAAGUCGCUGCUGGACCACGUCAGGCAGUACUUCACGUGUGAUGCCAGAAGGGUUAAGAACACUGCGCUGUCCCUCCUGCCUAUUAUUGGAUGAUCAGGAUCUACCAGAUCAAGGAAUGGUUGCUAAGCGACAUUGUGUCUGGAGUCAGCACUGGGCUGGUGGCCGUCUUACAAGGUCUGGCCUACUGC